UGCUCAGAUUGAACGCUGGCGGCAGGCUUAACACAUUCAAGUCGAGCGGUAGCACAGGGGAGCUUGCUCCCCGGGUGACGAGCGGCGGACGGGUGAGUAAUGUCUGGGAAACUGCCUGAUGGAGGGGGAUAACUACUGGAAACGGUAGCUAAUACCGCAUAACGUCGCAAGACCAAAGAGGGGGACCUUCGGGCCUCUUGCCAUCAGAUGUGCCCAGAUGGGAUUAGCUAGUAGGUGGGGUAAUGGCUCACCUAGGCGACGAUCCCUAGCUGGUCUGAGAGGAUGACCAGCCACACUGGAACUGAGACACGGUCCAGACUCCUACGGGAGGCAGCAGUGGGGAAUAUUGCACAAUGGGCGCAAGCCUGAUGCAGCCAUGCCGCGUGUGUGAAGAAGGCCUUCGGGUUGUAAAGCACUUUCAGCGAGGAGGAAGGUGGUGAGCUUAAUACGCUCAUCAAUGACGUACU
rnacentral:rRNA from 1 species